rfam:Erinaceus europaeus unplaced genomic scaffold scaffold00458, whole genome shotgun sequence
ACGGUAAAUUUUUCAGGGUGGUAAAACUUGUCUGAUAAUAGAUGAUGUUAUAGUAUGAGCAGAGAAAAUUAAAACAUACUGUCUUUCUUUUGUCUUAGGGCCUGUCUCCACAACUCUGCCAUACUU